CCCUUAGAUGUCCUGGGCUGCACGCGCGCUACACUGGAAGUUACGGAUUGAGAUACUACCUUGUCCGAAAUGGUCCGGGUAAUCACCUAAAAGCUUGUCAUAAUUGGAAUGGAUUAUUGUAACUAGUAAUCCUGAACGAGGAAUUCCUAGUAAGUCCCAGUCAACAGCUGGUACUGAUUACGUCCCUGCCCUUUGUACACACCGCCCGUCGCUACUACUGAUUGGACGUUUAAGCAAGAUUUUUAAACACUGACAGUGUGUAGUUCACGCUAUACUACAGUGAGAAGAAGAAGAUCGAGCUUACUUGUCUAGAGGGAGUAAAAGUCGUAACA
rnacentral:rRNA from 1 species